rnacentral:rRNA from 1 species
AGUGAACGCUGGCGGUAGGCCUAACACAUGCAAGUCGAACGGCAGCACAGUAAGAGCUUGCUCUUACGGGUGGCGAGUGGCGGACGGGUGAGGAAUACAUCGGAAUCUACUUUUUAGUGGGGGAUAACGUAGGGAAACUUACGCUAAUACCGCAUACGACCUACGGGUGAAAGCAGGGGAUCUUCGGACCUUGCGCGAUUGAAUGAGCCGAUGUCGGAUUAGCUAGUUGGCGGGGUAAAGGCCCACCAAGGCGACGAUCCGUAGCUGGACUGAGAGGAUGAUCAGCCACACUGGAACUGAGACACGGUCCAGACUCCUACGGGAGGCAGCAGUGGGGAAUAUUGGACAACGGGCGCAAGCCUGAUCCAGCCAUACCGCGUGGGUGAAGAAGGCCUUCGGGUUGUAAAGCCCUUUUGUUGGGAAAGAAAAGCAGCAGGUUAAUACCCCGCUGUUCUGACGGUACCCAAAGAAUAAGCACCGGCUAACUUCGUG